UGCAGUCGAGCGGAUGAAGGGAGCUUGCUCCUGGAUUCGGCGGCGGACGGGUGAGUAAUGCCUAGGAAUCUGCCUGGUAGUGGGGGAUAACGUCCGGAAACGGGCGCUAAUACCGCAUACGUCCUGAGGGAGAAAGUGGGGGAUCUUCGGACCUCACGCUAUCAGAUGAGCCUAGGUCGGAUUAACUAGUUGGUGGGGUAAAGGCCUACCAAGGCGACGAUCCGUAACUGGUCUGAGAGGAUGAUCAGUCACACUGGAACUGAGACACGGUCCAGACUCCUACGGGAGGCAGCAGUGGGGAAUAUUGGACAAUGGGCGAAAGCCUGAUCCAGCCAUGCCGCGUGUGUGAAGAAGGUCUUCGGAUUGUAAAGCACUUUAAGUUGGGAGGAAGGGCAGUAAGUUAAUACCUUGCUGUUUUGACGUUACCAACAGAAUAAGCACCGGCUAACUUCGUGCCAGCAGCCGCGGUAAUACGAAGGGUGCAAGCGUUAAUCGGAAUUACUGGGCGUAAAGCGCGCGUAGGUGGUUCAGCAAGUUGGAUGUGAAAUCCCCGGGCUCAACCUGGGAACUGCAUCCAAAACUACUGAGCUAGAGUACGGUAGAGGGUGGUGGAAUUUCCUGUGUAGCGGUGAAUGCGUAGAUAUAGGAAGGAACACAGUGGCGAAGCGACCCCUGGACUGAUACUGACCUGAUGGCGAAGCGUGGGGAGCAACAGGAUUAAUCCCUGGUGUCCAGCCGUAACGAUGUCACUACCGUGGGAUCUUGAGACUUAUGGCGCGCUACGCAUAAUCGACGCCUGGGAGACGCCGCAGGUGAACUCAAUGAUUGACGGGGCCGCACAGCGGGGAGAUGUGUUAUUCUAGCACGCGAGAACUU
rnacentral:rRNA from 1 species